GAGGGUGUAGCUCAGUGUUAGAGCACGUGCCUAGCAUGCACGGGGUCCUGGGUUCAAUCCCCAGCCCCUCCA
rnacentral:tRNA from 1 species